rnacentral:lncRNA from 1 species
GGAAUUUAAGGAGGGAGAGGAAGUCUGGAGAGAAAAGUGGCAGGAAAUCAUCUUCCCCGCGGAGGCAGAGGCAGAGGAGCUAAAAAUGACCCUUUGGAUCCACAGUGCCUCAGGCCCACAUGGACUGUAGAGACCCCCUACCUUCUGAGCGGCAUUUUGUUACAAACUGGUUUAAACAGACCGUCCCUUCUGGGCCGCCAGCAGCCCUGAGCCGUCCUCAGAGUGCCCCGGAACAAGCCGCAGCAGUAAAUACACGUACGCCCUUCCGACACCCAGAC